GGCAACCUGGAGGAGGAGAGAGAGGAAGAGGAGACUCUAGUCCUGGGGCAAACGCUUUCAUAGACGCAUGUUCACACAAAGGCGGCGUAAUAACUCAGUUCCCUCCCCAGGAGUAUAAAACCCCCACCUACCGAGGAAGCUGCGGUUGUGUCCCGAGGGGAAGGAGUUUCCGAGCAUCACCACGGUGGGGUCAACCAGGAUCUCCUGACUCUGUCCCGGAGCGGUCGUGACCUCUUGUUGCCCCCCGCCUCCGUCCAGCCGGAGCGUGAGCUCCCGCCCGAAGCGAUCCAGCUCCACCUGGUGCCACUCCCCGUCGUUCAGGCGGAGGUGGGGCAGCGUGAUGUUGUAGUCUCCGUCGCCCAGGUUGUAGAAAACCGCCAGCAGCCCCCACACAACCUGAGACAGCAGAGGAGGAAUCGGACUCAGAAGGAUUCUGAACGUUUUGGGAACUCGGGUCUCCAGCUGCUGUAAAACACCACCGUGGAUCUUCAUUUGAGGCUUCACUGUCUUUGUGAAGGUAAAACGGUCAAAUGAGGCUCGGCAGGUUUUAUUUUCAUUAUUGACCCAAACGACUGAAGAGCAGGUAACUCCCAGAGGGGAAGGGGCGGAGUCAGCUGUGCAAUUUAGACAAACCUGGUAGGAAAAAGUCCCAGAAAGUCCAGGAGGGAAAUAAUGAAUUCAGCAUUUUGAUGUCAAAUGAUCCUCCCUCAUGAGCGCGUGCACGCUGAGUCAUCCCGAAAGGAAGGAGAACAUGAAACAACAAUUAUCUGCAGUGGUUAAGGAUGAGCGAACACAAUAGACUGAAGCAGAGCCGGCUUCCAUAACUGCAGCUUGUUCAUGUCCGAGCUUAAUUGGAAACAGUGGCUCUAGAUAAUUCACAUUCAGCCGGGGCCGCGUUAACGAUCGCUGAGCAGACGCCUCCCCCGCCGGACAGACGUCCACACGAGACGCUAGAACAAAGCAAAAGCUGACUUUGCUCUCCUUAUUGACUCAUCCUGCUCUCUUUAGAGGUCGCUGGUCUUUGACAAUAAGUCUACUGCAUCCCUGCCAACCCCCCCCCCCGAUGAAAACCUCCUCACAGGAGGAGAAACAACACUUCUAGGAGAAGUGUCUGUUGUUCACACCCAGCCGGCCUUUGUUAGCCUUCACGUUAAGUAACAGAGGCCUGAACCUCCACGAAGUGCGUUAAUGUCUCACAAUGUACACUUCAAAGGGUAUCCUCCCACUUAUACCAUAAUCAUAUACAAAAUAAAUAAAUAUUCAAUCAA